rnacentral:rRNA from 4 species
GCACGACUCUCGGCAAUGGAUAUCUCGGCUCUCGCAUCGAUGAAGAGCGCAGCGAAAUGCGAUACGUGGUGCGAAUUGCAGAAUCCCGUGAACCAUCGAGUCUUUGAACGCAAGUUGCGCCCGAGGCCAACCGGCCAAGGGCACGUCUGCCUGGGCGUCAAGC